rnacentral:rRNA from 1 species
UACGUAGGGUCCGAGCGUUGUCCGGAAUUAUUGGGCGUAAAGGGCUCGUAGGCGGUUUGUCGCGUCGGGAGUGAAAACACGGGGCUUAACCCCGUGCCUGCUUCCGAUACGGGCAGACUAGAGGUAUGCAGGGGAGAACGGAAUUCCUGGUGUAGCGGUGAAAUGCGUAGAUAUCGGGAGGAACACCAGUGGCGAAGGCGACUACCUGGCCUGUUCUUGACGCCGAGGCGCGAAAGCUAGGGGAGCAAACGGG